rnacentral:rRNA from 1 species
GACGAACGCUGGCGGCGUGCUUAACACAUGCAAGUCGAACGCGCCUGUCCUCUGGGUUUCUGGGGGGUGGGUGAGUGGCGACCGGGUGAGUAACACGUGAGUAACCUGCCCCCUUCUUCGGGAUAACGGUCUGAAAGGGCUGCUAAUACCGGGUAUUCACUGGUCUCCGCAUGGGGUCUGGUGGAAAGGUUUUUUUCUGGUGGGGGAUGGGCUCGCGGCCUAUCAGCUUGUUGGUGGGGUGAUGGCCCACCAAGGCUUUGACGGGUAGCCGGCCUGAGAGGGUGACCGGUCACAUUGGGACUGAGAUACGGCCCAGACUCCUACGGGAGGCAGCAGUGGGGAAUAUUGCACAAUGGGCGCAAGCCUGAUGCAGCGACGCCGCGUGAGGGAUGGAGGCCUUCGGGUUGUGAACCUCUUUCGCCCGUGGUCAAGCCGCGACGUGGGUCGUGGUGAGGGUAGUGGGUAAAGAAGCGCCGGCUAACUACGUG